rnacentral:lncRNA from 1 species
AUGUCUGUUCAUCAGAGUCAAUUGAGUUGUUAUUGUGUUAAAUUUAAUUUGUAAAUUGAGCUCAUAAGUAUGACACGCAUUUAGGGGUCUUUUGGUAGGAUGAAUAAGCAAAAAUAAUCAUGAGAUAAGAAAUUAGUACCCCUUAUCCUUUGUUUGCUUAUUAAUCUUAGGAUAUAUUAUCCUAAUUAAAAAUAGUAUUGAGAUAGCUUAUACCUUUGGCAUAGGGUGGAACAGUAAUCCAAGGAUAAGUUAUCCCACGAUAAAGUAAUAAAAUUGACAUUCUAG